UACGGAGGGGGCUGGCGUUGUUCGGAAUUACUGGGCGUAAAGCGCGCGUAGGCGGACCUGCAAGUCGGGGGUGAAAGCCCGAGGCUCAACCUCGGAACUGCCUUCGAUACUGCGGGUCUCGAGUCCGGGAGAGGUGAGUGGAAUUCCUAGUGUAGAGGUGAAAUUCGUAGAUAUUAGGAAGAACACCAGUGGCGAAGGCGGCUCACUGGCCCGGUACUGACGCUGAGGAGCGAAAGCUAGGGGAGCAAACGGG
rnacentral:rRNA from 1 species